GUAAAGCACUUUCAGUAGGGAGGAAGGUAGUGUAGUUAACACCUGCAUUAUUUGACGUUACCUACAGAAGAAGCACCGGCUAACUCCGUGCCAGCAGCCGCGGUAAUACGGAGGGUGCGAGCGUUAAUCGGAAUUACUGGGUGUAAAGCGCAUGCAGGCGGCCUGUUAAGUCAGAUGUGAAAGACCCGGGGCGUUAACCUCGGAAUUGCAUUUGAAACUAGGCAGGCUAGAGUCUUGUAGAGGGGGGUAGGAAUUUCAGGUGUAGCGGUGAAAUGCGUAGAGAUCUGAAGGAAUACCAGUGGCGAAGGCCGGCCCCCCUCGGACAAAGACUGACGCUCAGAUGCGAAAGCGUCGGGGAGCCAAACAGGAUUAGUAUACCCCUCGGUAG
rnacentral:rRNA from 1 species